rnacentral:rRNA from 1 species
CUACGAAGGGGGCUAGCGUUGUUCGGAAUUACUGGGCGUAAAGCGCGCGUAGGCGGAUUGGUCAGUUAGGGGUGAAAUCCCAGGGCUUAACCCUGGAACUGCCUCUAAUACUGCCAGUCUUGAGUUCGGGAGAGGUGAGUGGAAUUCCUAGUGUAGAGGUGAAAUUCGUAGAUAUUAGGAAGAACACCGGUGGCGAAGGCGGCUCACUGGCCCGAUACUGACGCUGAGGCGCGAAAGCGUGGGGAGCAAACAGGAUUAGAAACCCCAGUAGUCC